AGAUGGGAAGCCGGUCGAAGUGGAUCCCCACCACAUCAUCAUCGAAGAUCCUGAUGGAUCCUGCACAUUGAUCCUUGAUAAUCUGACCGGAGUGGAUUCAGGGCAAUAUCUGUGCUAUGCAUCUAGUCCAGCUGGCAGUGCCAGCACCCUUGGGAAAAUUCUCGUCCAAGUGCCUCCUCGGUUUGUGAACAAGAUGAAACACGCCUAUUAUGCCAGUGGCGAAGAUGCACAGUUUACUUGCACCAUUGAAGGAGCACCAUACCCCCAAAUCAGGUGGCAUAAAGAUGGGAACCUCCUCACCGAUCCAAACAAACACCAGAGCUUCAGUGAGCCACGAAGUGGCGUGAUUGUCCUGGUUAUCAAAAAUGCCUGUGAGGAUGAUGAAGGUCUCUAUGAGUGUGAG